GUGUGUUUAUUCUGAUGGGUUCAAGAGUGUUAUUCAUUUGUUGUGCUGGAAGACUUUGAGAGUCUAGAGAGAGAGAAUGAAACACCCAUAGGAUUGAAGAAGUAGAGAAAUCAAAGGAAAACUCAAGAAAUUGGAAGAGAGGGAGAAGACCCACGGGAAAUCAACUAUAACUUUUGAAGUUAAAACCGAAGGUUACGCGCCAUUGUCUGCCUGAUUUAUCUGAUAUGUCCAAUCCGUCUGAUUUGCUUCUUCGACUAUCUGUGAUCAGGUGCGUGACCAAGCUCAGACGCAUUUGCCUAGAAUCUGUUUUUGUCAGCCAGCCUAUGUGCCUCCUGUGGAGGUUUUGAAUAUGUCAAGUGAUUAUCGCUAUGUGAUUUAAAGUUUAAGUUUUGUUUUCGUGUUUGGUUGAACAAGUCUUGUGUAUUUUGUAAAUAAGGUUAAGUCCCUUUUUGUCUAAUCUGUAUAUAUAUAUAUAUGACGACUUAAAGAUAAUGUGUAUAGGUGUAUAUAAAAAGUUUAAAAUUUUUCUGUCUCAUAUAAGUCUGCACAGCUCAAUGGACGUUGUAUAUUGUUAUUUGCUUCCGCUAGCCCCUAAUAUUAUGUUAAUCUGUCUCAGAGGCCUUCGGUA